rnacentral:rRNA from 1 species
GAUGAACGCUGGCGGCGUGCCUAAUACAUGCAAGUCGAGCGAACAGACGAGGAGCUUGCUCCUCUGACGUUAGCGGCGGACGGGUGAGUAACACGUGGAUAACCUACUUAUAUGACUGGGAUAACUUCGGGAAACCGGAGCUAAUACCGGAUAAUAUAUUGAACCGCAGGGUUCAAUAGUGAAAGACGGUUUUGCUGUCACUUAUAGAUGGAUCCGCGCCGCAUUAGCUAGUUGGUAAGGUAACGGCUUACCAAGGCAACGAUGCGUAGCCGACCUGAGAGGGUGAUCGGCCACACUGGAACUGAGACACGGUCCAGACUCCUACGGGAGGCAGCAGUAGGGAAUCUUCCGCAAUGGGCGAAAGCCUGACGGAGCAACGCCGCGUGAGUGAUGAAGGUCUUCGGAUCGUAAAACUCUGUUAUUAGGGAAGAACAAAUGUGUAAGUAACUAUGCACGUCUUGACGGUACCUAAUCAGAAAGCCACGGCUAACUACGUG